AUACGGAGGAUGCAAGCGUUAUCCGGAUUUAUUGGGUUUAAAGGGUGCGUAGGCUGUUCGGAAAGUCAGGGGUGAAAGCCCGGCGCCUAACGCCGGAACUGCCUUUGAUACUUUCGAGCUGGAAUACGGAUGCCGUGGGAGGAAUGAGUAGUGUAGCGGUGAAAUGCAUAGAUAUUACUCAGAACACCGAUUGCGAAGGCAUCUCACGAAUCCGUCAUUGACGCUGAGGCACGAAAGCGUGGGGAUCAAACAGGAUUAGAUACCCUGGUAGUCCACGCCGUAAACGAUGAUGACUAACCGUCGGCGAUAGACAGCCGGUGGCCAAGCGAAAGCGAUAAGUCAUCCACCUGGGGAGUACGUCGGCAACGAUGAAACUCAAAGGAAUUGGCGGGG
rnacentral:rRNA from 1 species